AUUGAACGCUGGCGGCAGGCCUAACACAUGCAAGUCGAGCGGAGCGGCGGACGGGUGAGUAAUGCCUAUGAAUCUGCCUGGUAGUGGGGGAUAACGUCCGGAAACGGGCGCUAAUACCGCAUACUAUCAGAUGAGCCUAGGUCGGAUUAGCUAGUGGGGGGGGUAAAGGCCUACCAAGGCGACGAUCCGUAACUGGUCUUAGAGGAUGAGCAGUCACACUGGAACUGAGACACGGUCCAGAAUCCUACGGGAGGCAGCAGUGGGGAAUAUUGGACAAGGGGAGAAAGCCUGAUCCAGCCAUGCCGCGUGUGUGAAGAAGGUCUUCGGAGUGUAAAGCACUUUAAGUUGGGAGGCGUUACCAACAGAAUAAGCACCGACUAACUUCGUGCCAGCAGCCGCGGUAAUAC
rnacentral:rRNA from 1 species